UACAGAGGGGGGCAAGCGUUGUUCGGAAUUACUGGGCGUAAAGGGCUCGUAGGCGGCCAACUAAGUCAGACGUGAAAUCCCUCAGCUUAACUGGGGAACUGCGUCUGAUACUGGAUGGCUUGGAUUCGGGAGAGGAAUGCGGAAUUCCAGGUGUAGCGGUGAAAUGCGUAGAUAUCUGGAGGAACACCGGUGGCGAAGGCGGCAUUCUGGACCGACAUUGACGCUGAGGAGCGAAAGCCAGGGAGCAAACGGG
rnacentral:rRNA from 1 species